AUGGCCGCCAUGGCAUCCAUGGCCGACAAGAGGGGACCCUCGGCCUCGGCCAUGGCCGCCUGCUUUGGACACGGGCUGGUACUGCAUCUCUUCGGCGGAAGGCGAAAAGAAUGGCGGCGGCGGGCAAUAUGGGAGAAGACGGUGCCCUGCCUGACAACGGACUCGAAUUUCUACUGGAUCCGGUUGACAGCAUGCUGUUGGUUUCCGAUCAGUGAGGUGGUUGCGGACGUUGAGGUGCCAGAUCCGUUGGCGGCAAGGGACUUAGUGGAGACAGACAUGGCUGGCGCCGAUUCCUCAUGCGCGGUUGUGGUUGGGCACCUCGGCGGAGCUGCUGAGCCCCGGGAUUCUGGCGGCAAGAGGAAACAGUAG
rnacentral:rRNA from 1 species